rnacentral:rRNA from 1 species
AUGAAUGUUGAUGCAGCAGUGGCCCGUCAUCGACAUGGGGGAGCGGUGUCAGCAGUGUGCAGGGAUCAUACAGGGCUAUACAUGGGAUCAUCGGCACUAGUGAUCCAGGGCAUUUCCGACCCAACGAUGCUGGAGACGUUUGCGUGCAGGGAAGCACUGGCCCUGGCGGAGGAUCUCGGCGUUUCAAGCUUAGUGGUGGCAUCGGACUGUCUUGGAGUGAUCAGAGACAUCAACCUGGGAACAUGCAGCGGUGGUACAUGA